GAGUUGUGACAUUGGUAUGCUGUGAGGGCUUCAAAUGGUUUUUAUGUUGUUUUCUUUUACAAAAAUUUAAUCUCAUAUUUGGUGCAUUGUGCUUUGUAAUAUUUCGGGUUCGGAAUGAUUGGGUUGUGGAUAACUAUUUUGUGUAUGUUAUAAGAAUAAUUAGUCUUUAUGUUGAAAUCUUAAUCUUUCGACACGCUAAUGGAGUGGAAGUGGUGAUUAUUUGAAGCUGCAUUUUUUAUUAAACUUAGAAUGUUAUAUUGAAUGCGAAGAAGGUAGUAAAGCAAAGUUAAUCAAAUAAGAAAACAUUGACACUCAAAAUUAUAAAUAUCAUAUUAGUUCUAGAACAUUUCUUUUAAUAUAGAGACGCCAUUUAAGGAACAUUUGAUCUAUCUCCAGCAUUUGUCAGCUCGAGACAUGUCGGUUUGCCGUUCAUGACUAUACAUAAAUUUCAUGCAUUCUUCAUAUUCUCAUGUUCAUAGCAAA
rnacentral:lncRNA from 1 species